ensembl:lncRNA
GGGGAUGUAAAGAUGAGUGUGACAAUACAUGGGCUGUGGAAUAGCUCUCAGAUUUAUUUCUUCUAAGGAUCUUGUCUUAGUCUGUUCAGGUUGCUUUAACAGAAUACCACAGUCUAGGUAGCUUAGAAGCAACAGAAUUUAUUCCUCACUGUUCUAGAAGGUAAAAGUCUGAAAGCAGGAUGCCAGUCUGGUCAAUAGAGAGCCCUCUUCCAGGUUUUAGACUCCUUGUAUCCUCACAUGGUAGAAGGGAUCAGGGAGCUCUAUGAGAUUUUUCUUAUAGGAGCACAAUUCCAUUGAUGAGAGUGCCACUUCAUGAUCUAAUCCCUUCUCAAAGACCGCACUAUCACUCUGGUCAUUAGGAUUUCAACAUAUGGAUUUUGGAGGUCAUGAACAUUCAGACCAUAGAUCUCAUUUCCUAGAGUUGGUUGUUUUGACAGAGUUGUGAGACUUUGUCUCUUUUCUUGUUUGUUUUUUUGGAUAUUGGACCUAAGCCUUUCUGGGUUUUUUUUUUUUUGUUUUUUUUUUUGGAUAUUGGACCUAAGCCUUUCUGGGUUUUUUUUUUUUGUUCUGUUUUUUUUUUUUUUUAGGGCUGCACCUGUGGCAUAUGGAAUUUUCCAGGUUAAGGGUCAAAUCAGAACUGCAGCUGCCAACCUACACCACAGCCACAACAAUGCAGAUCCUUAACCCACUGAGGGAGGAGGUCAGGGAUUGAACCUGCAUCCUCAUUGAUACUAGUUGGGUUGGUAAUCCCCUGAGCCACAAUGAGAACUCCCUUUAAGCCACUUUUUUUUUUUUUUUUUUAAAUCUGGAAGUUUUCCAAUAUGAUCUCUUGCCCUGUAAAAAAUUUUCUAGAUCUAAUUAAAUAAAAUGUAACUCUUUGGAAAAAUACCUUAUAUGAUCUUUCUAAAUUUCCCAAAGCAUUUAAGAAGGCCGAUGGUAAUACAAACUUUCUCCUAUAUAGAACAAGUAGAAUAUUUUACUAAAAGAUCAUUAAUGGACCUUGUGAAGACAACAAUGAAAUAAUCAGAGUAUUAUUUUGAAAUUUCUGCAUGCACAAGAUAUUUUCCAUGUACAAGCUACCAAUCUGGGCACUAGGGGUAUAUAGAAUAUAAAUAUUUAAUAUCUGCAUUAAAUGUUUAUAUUUUUACGAAAAUCAUUAUUAAAUUGACAUGAAUUAUAUUAAAUAGAAAUAAUAAAUUUUCCAGUUUUAAGAAGCAUUCUAAAGUAGCAAUCAACUCAUGUAGUUGCAUCUAUUUCAGAGUAAAUAUGUAUACAAAACACAUGAUCUUUAAAAAAUAUUUAUGAUUUAGUGUUUUAUCAAUUUUUGCUAUACUGAAAAUUGACCCAGUCAUACAUAUAUAUAUGUAUAUAUAUACACACACACACAUUCUUUUUCUCACAUUGUCCUCCAUCAUGUUUCAUCACAAGUGAUUAGAUAUAUAGUUCCUUGUGCUAUACAGCAGAAUCUUAUUGCCCAUACACUCCAAAUGCAAGAGUUUUCAUCUCCUAACCCCAGACUCCCAACCCAUCCCACUCUAUCCCUCCUCCCACUGGCAAACAUGAGUCUGUCUGUCUUACAUGUCCAUGAUCUUUUCUGUUUUAUAAAUAGAUCAUUUGUGCCAUACUUUAGACUCCACAUAUAAGUGGUAUUAUAUGGUGUCUGUCUACAGAUUCAAUGAAAUCCCUAUUAAAUUACCAAUGAUAUUCUUUACAAAACUAGAACAAAAUAUUUUAAAAUUUGUUUGGAAACGCAAAAGACCUUGAACAGCCAAAAUAAUAUUGGAAAGAAAAAACAGAACUGGAAGAAUCAGGCUCCCAGACGUCAGACUCUGUUCUGCCUCCACCAUAUGUUCUUGCUUCCUUUGACAUAGAUUAAUUGACCCAUAGGUGUUUUGAGAUAUUUCUGGGCUUUCUAUCCUAUUGCAUUGAUCUAUAUUUGUUUUUGUGGCAGCACCAUCCUGUUUUAAUGACUGUAGCUUUGUAGUAGAGUCUGAAGAAAAAGAAAUGAAAAAAUCCCAUUUGAAAACAAGAAGUAAAACUAUCACUGUUUAGAGAUCACAGGAUUAUAGACCUAGAAAAUCCUAAAGACACUACAAGAAAACUAUUAGAGCUCAUAAAUGAUUUUGCUAAAGUUACAGGAUACAAAAUUAAUACAUUAAUCAACUGCAUUUCUAUAUACUAUGAAAGAUCAGAAAGAAAAAUUAGGGAAACAAUUACAUUUAUCAUUGCACCAAGAAGAAUGAAAUACCUAGAAAUAAACCUCCCUAAAGAGACAAAAGACCUGUACUCUGAAAACUAUGAGACAUGAUGAAAGGAAUAAAAAAACACACAAAUAGAUGGAUAUAAAUAUACCAUGCUCUUGAAUUUUAAGAAUCAAUACAGUGAAAAUGGCAAAACACGACUUUAAAAUUUUCAAAUAUAAUAGACUUCACUUGAUUAUAAUCACUCCUAUUUAAAUGCAUACCUCAUUGUUUCUGAAAAUUAUUUGGUGUGAUUAUAGGAUUGAUUCAAUAAGAGAAAAAUUAGUGGUGGGGGGGAAGAGUUCCUGUCACGGCUCAGCUGUUAAUGAGCCCAACUAGGAUCCAUGAGCAUGUGGGUUCAAUCCCUGGCCCCACUCAGUAGGUUAAGGAUCCUGUGUUUCGGUGAGCUGUGGUGUAGGUUGGGGCUGCACCUCCCAUUCGACCCCUAGCCUGGGAACUUUCAUAUGCUGUGGGAGUGGCCCUAAAAAAGACAAAAAAAAAAAAAAAA